rnacentral:lncRNA from 1 species
AUGCUUGCUGGGGCACAGCGGUCAUUUGCUUCUGCCUCAGGGCCAUUUGAGGAGGAUGCCACACUUGCUGGGGCACAGCGGUCAUUUGCUUCUGCCUCAGGGCCAUUUGAGGAGGAUGCCACACUUGCUGGGGCACGGCAGUCGGUUGCUUCUGCUGCAUUUGAGCUGGAUGCCACACUUGCUGGGGCACGGCAGUCGGUUGCUUCUGCUGCAGAGGCAUUUGAGAAGGAUGCCACACUUGCUGGGGCACGGCAGUCGGUUGCUUCUGCUGCAUUUGAGCUGGAUGCCACACUUGCUGGGGCACGGUCGUCAGUUGCUUCUGCUGCAGGGGCAUUUGAGGAUGCCACACUUGCUGGGGCACGGCAGUCGGUUGCUUCUGCUGCAGGGCCAUGUGAGGAGGAUGCCACACUUGCUGGGUCAUGGCGGUCAGUUUCUUCUGCAGCAGGGGCAUUUGAGCUCUAUGCCACACUUGCUGGGGCACGGCGGUCGGUUGCUUAUGCAUCAGCAUGUGAGCUUGAUGCCACACUUGCUGGGGCACCGCGGUCGGUUGCUUAUGCGUCAGCAUGUGAGCUUGAUGCCACACUUGCUGGGGCACGGCGGUCGGUUGCCUCUGCUGCUGAGCUUCUGCGGCCAGUUGCUUCUGAUGCAGGGGCAUUUGAACUGGAUACCACACUUGCUGAGGUUGCUGGGAGAUGGGGGCCAGUUCCUUCCGCAGGAUGGCGGCCGGAUGUUUCUGUUGCGCUUGCAUUUGAGAUUUUGGAGACUUAUAAUUGCCAUAUCCUAGAGACCGAAGUGAUCCUGCAUAGAGCCAUGCUGCAUUAGAAUCCAGUGCAGGAGACCGAUCACCUAGGUUAAAAAUAUAAACUGUAAAAUGCCAGCAUUUGAAAGUUAUGGAACUGCAUAGCUGUUAUUUGAAAUGACCUCACCUUCUGAUGUAGAACACGAUAUCCCUCCAAUUAGCAGGCAACAAAGCCAAGAAACGCUUAAGGAAAAAUAAUGUAUGUCAUAAACAUAGCUACCUGUAACACCUGAAGGACAAGGGAAACAAACUUAAUCAAUACUUAAAAACAUACCUGAAAGCGAUUCCAAUCAUCACGGCCAUUUCGCCCUCAAAACCUCACCAGUAUUCAGAACUAAUGGUAGGCAUACGUCCUACCAGAAUAUCCCUUUUACUAUAUUUGCCAGAUGUUUGGUUGCUCCUUUUAAAGGAAUCCCAGACCCUUCUAAUGUCGUUGGCUAAUUAAGGACAGCUGUCAGCCACUGAACUACAUUCAAUUUC